GGGGGGGGGGGGGGGGGGGCCUGGCGCAGGCAGGUCGAGGGGCGGCGCGGUAAGAGCGUGCUCUUACGGGUGGCGAGUGGCGGACGGGUGGGGGAUACAUCGGACUCUACUUUUUCGUGGGGGAUAACGUCGGGAAACUUACGCUAAUACAGCAUCCGCCCUCCGGGUGAAAGCAGGGGAUCUUCGGACCUUGCGCGAUUGAAUGAGCCUAUGUCGGCUUAGCUAGUUGGCGGGGUAAAGGCCCACCAAGGCGACGAUCCGUAGCUGGUCUGAGAGGAGGAUCAGCCACACUGGAACUGAGACACGGUCCAGACUCCUACGGGAGGCAGCAGUGGGGAAUAUUGGACAAUGGGCGCAAGCCUGAUCCAGCCAUACCGCGUGGGUGAAGAAGGCCUUGGGGUUGUAAAGCCCUUUUGUUGGGAAAGAAAAGCAGCAGGUUAAUACCCCGCUGUUCUGACGGUACCCAAAGAAUAAGCACCGGCUAACUUCGUG
rnacentral:rRNA from 1 species